rnacentral:ncRNA from 1 species
GGUAAGUAUAUAAAGAAAUUAUUCUGGAUGAAUGGCUAUAUAUUAAAGAUCAACAAUGGUUGGACGACAACCAUACCAGGGUCUUAGAUAAAUUAAAUAAAUAAACAAAGUGAAUUGAAAUAUCUUAUUAGCUUUAGGAAUAAAAAUCAAAAGAGAUUCUAGAAGUAGUGUGAAUGAAACUAGAUUAAGCAAAUAAAGUAAAACGUAAAACAAAUAUGUUUGAAUAAAGGGGAACCUUCCUCUAAUGCUAUAAUAUAAUAUAUAAGCAACAGAAUAUAGUACCGUGAGGGAAAUUUUAGAAAGAGUAAUUUUAUAAGCAGCUCAAGAUUUCAUAAAAUUAAGAGCGUACCUUUUGCAUAAUGGGUCAGCAAGUUAAUGUUAGAUGCAAGCGAUGAUAAAUUAGCCUAGAUAAACCAAUUAUGUGAUAAUGAUAAAGUAUCUAACAUUAGACCCGAAGCCUAGUGAUCUUGCCAUGGUCAGGAUUAUAAAAGUCCGAACGGGUUAUCGUUGUAAAGAUAUCCGAAGAACUGUGGUAAGUUAGUGAAAGACAAAACUGACUAGGAUAGCUGGUUUUCUGCGAAACCUAUGUAAGUAGGUAAUUUUAACAAAAUCUUAGCAGGUACAGUAUUUAAUCUCGUCAACUCAAAUAAUUAUGUUAUUUGUUUUGCAUACAUCGGGGGAUCGUGAAGAUUUUACCGGAGUGUAUUAGAACUCGGAAGGGCAAAGAUAACGCGCAGGUUAAAGGUUAUGUGGGGAUAUCUUCCCCAAGAUAACCCAAGAUAACAAACGCGAAGGUUAAAUAAUCAGACAUAGUACGAUAAGGUUGUAUGUCAAAAGGGAAACAGCCCAGAACAAGAGUUUAAGGUUCCAAAGUUAUAGUUAAGUGAAAAUAAGGAAGUUUUUUUCGUAAACAACCAGGAAAUAGGCUUAGAAGCGGCCAUUUUUUAAAGACCUCGUAACAGAGCACUGGUUUUAGUAUAAGGUCUUAAAGCCUUUACUAAAGUUAUAAACACCGAUAAUAUAACGGAUCUAAAUUAUACACCGAAACCUUGUCUAUAUCUAUUAAUAUUAAUAAUAUUAUGGAUAUAGGGUAGCAGAACGUUGGGUAAAUUUAAGCUGUAUGCUUUUUAAGCAGUAACAAAAAUAUCUCAAGUGAUAAUGCUGACAUGAGUAACGAAAAAGGAAAACCUCGCCUAAAGCUUAUGGUAUCAAAUACGGCUUCUAAGUUAUUGUAUAUAUUAAUAAAACAGUUAUUUGAUAUAUAUACCCUACAGGGAUUAACGAUGAAUAGUUAGAACAACCUUAAUAAUAGAUAAGGUUCUGGAAAAUAAUAACAAACUGUAAGGAACUGAGGCAAUAAACUAAAUAGAUGAGCCAAUACGCGACUUUAACCGUACCUAAAAACUAACACUAGUAAGCAAGUAGAGAAUACGAAGGCGUUUGAGCUAACAAUCAUUAAGGAACUCGGCAAAUUGACUCCGUAACUUCGGGAUAAGGUGGGCCAUUCUUUUAUAUAUUAUUUAAAAGAAGAGGAAGCAUAGAAUGGUGUUGUACGACUGUUUAAUUAAAACAAAGCACUUUGCAUAAGAUUACAAAUCAAAGUAUUGAGUGUGAUGUCUGCCCUAUGUCGGCUGGUUAACGGAUUUUCUUAGCUGACUAAAAUAAGCUAGGUCUUGAAGGAAACCCCGAUAAAUGGCGGCCUUACCUAUAAGGGUCUUAAGGUAGCGGAAUACCCUGGCCGUUAAAUGCGGUCUUGCAUGAAUGAUGUAACGAUACAACAGCUGUCUCGAUGAUUGGCUCAGUGAAAUUGGAAUAGCAGUGCAGAUACUGUUUACCUCUAGUUAGACGAGAAGACCCUU